UAGAGGCGAGGCGGCCCGGGAGCGCGCRGGGGCCUGGCCAGGCGGCGGGUGCCCGCGGAGAACGCCUGAGCCCGCGGCGGCAGCUGCAGCACUGGCCGGGCGGAGGAGGCGCGGCGCGGGGGGUCCUUCAGGCGCGCGGAGAACGCCUCAGCGCCAGACACAAUGGUGGGGUGUCCCCGGGCGCCCCUCAUCCCCCUCCGCCCCCAUUGCCCGSCGACAGUGGCCUCCAAAACGCGUUUGCUGUGCCCUACACCAUGGAAACACAGCACGGCUGUCAUGGAGCCCUCAACCGCAGUUCAGUCGCCGGGAGCCGUUGYUUCGUUUGUCUUGCAGGAAACUGGGGCCACARAUUCCUCAUCCUUCUGUGCCAACAAUAUUGGUCAUCAACUCCUGGCCGAGAAAACCCCGCAGAAUUCCCGACCAUCAAUAAGAGCUGAGACCUUUGCUUCGAGGAAGUGUUACUGAGCUGCACAGGAGUUGUGUAACACCCUUGUCCAGAGCUUUGACAAAUUCAUGGCAGUCCUAUUCCCAUCAGGAAGGUCCAGCSAUGGGGAUGGGGAUCCAUUCAGCCCCGUGUGUGUGCAGGAGUGUCUUUGGUGUUCCUUAAAGAUGAAAUCGAUGUGUAUAGGGUGUCCUUAAYGGGAGCCUACGGAUUGUGAGUGCUCCCUCUCAGCACAUUGAUGCUUUCAUGUUUUCUUGGCUAAGCAAAUCUUUGUAUUUUCCCCCUCCUUUUCCUCAGCACCGAUUAAACUCCCCGGGCAUAUUUACACAAAAAUCUCUCUUCUUUUCAAGGCAGAAACACUUUGUCUUCCCAGCAGAUUYUGAACCUCAAGAUGAUUGCAGCAAUUUUGCCAGUUAGUGAAGAGAACCGACUUUACCUCAUGUAUCUGGCAAUUCUGCAAUGCCAUUUGCAUAAUGUGAAGUUUAGAUCUUCCUUUGUCACAUGCUCCCACUCRUUUACCACCCUAAUGUCCAUGGGAAGUGCAUGAUGGAAAUGCUGGAACAUUCCUGGUUCUUUGUUUCAGACAAGGCUUGCAUUGAACCAGUUGCUUAAUUUUCCCCAAUUCCUUCAGCACUGCAGGAGUUCCCAACAUUUGUCCUCCCAAUGUGCUGAUCUGAAUUGCUCUAUCGUUUGUGCUGCAUUCUCUAAUAGCUCCUUCUAAAUAAAAUGCCUUUAUAGCAUCAAGGAAAAUAACAAGCUCUUUGAAACCCCAUUCUUCCUUAUUUUUUUCCCCCAUAAACUGUAAAAAUCUGCAUAUCUGAAUGAUGCAGCUUCAUCCUGAUCUGAAGCGACACKGCUUUUCUCUCACUACUCCCUCUAAAACCAGCUCUGCUCCGCUGGCUGCGAUUUUUGUGGCAUUUUCUUUCUCUAUGCUGACAAUAAACUUUCACCUCCAUAAUUAUUUUGAUCAGCAGAGUCACCUUUUGCCAGGAUUGAGGCAAGGAUUGCCUUCAGCCAGGCACCUGCGA